AAGUCGAGCGGAAACGAUGGGAGCUUGCUCCCAGGCGUCGAGCGGCGGACGGGUGAGUAACGCGUAGGAAUCUACCCAGUAGUGGGGAUAGCCCGGGAAACUCGGAUUAAUACCGCAUACGCCUACGGGGAAAGCCGGGAUCUUCGGACCGGUCGCUAUUGGAUGAGCCUGCGUAAGAUUAGCUAGUUGGUGGUGUAAAGGCCUACCAAGGCGACGAUCUUUAGCUGGUCUGAGAGGAUGAUCAGCCACACUGGAACUGAGACACGGUCCAGACUCC
rnacentral:rRNA from 1 species